rnacentral:tRNA from 1 species
GGCAACAUAGCCUAGUGGAAAGAGCACAGGACUGAGAACCUUGAGACCUGGGUUCUUGUCCCAGUUCUGUCA